AUUGAACGCUGGCGGCAGGCCUAACACAUGCAAGUCGAACGAGUGGCGGACAGGUGUGAAAUGUCUGGGAAACUGCCCGCUGGAGGGGGAUAACAACUCGAAACGGUAGCUAAUACCGCAUACCAUCGGAUGUGCCCAGAUGGGAUUAGCUAGUAGGGGGGGUAACGGCUCACCUAGGAGCGGAUCCCUAGCUGGUCUGUGAGGUUGACCAGCCACACGGGAACUGAGACACGGUCCAGACUCAUACGGGAGGCAGCAGUGGGGAAUAUUGCACAAUGGGCGCAAGCCUGAUGCAGCCAUGCCGCGUGUAUGAAGAAGGCCUUCGGGUUGUAAAGUACUUUCAGCGAGGAGGCGUUACUCGCAGAAGAAGCACCGGCUAACUCCGUGCCAGCAGCCGCGGUAAUAC
rnacentral:rRNA from 1 species